CUUCAGCGAGCCUCAAGCUCACUAUCGGAUCGUUUUAGAAACAUCAGUGGCCAACAGAUCGCCAGAUCGUUGAGCUGCAUUGGCGGGAUUUCGCCGUCUUCGUUUCUCUUUCUUCGCGGACGAACACGCGCUGGGGCUGCAAGCUUGCAGAAUCCCUGGUCCUUAACAGGAUAUGCGUUAGGGGCUUGUAGCUCAGUUGGUUAGAGCGCGCGCUUGAUAAGCGUGAGGUCGGAAGUUCAAGUCUUCCCAGGCCCACCACUUUCAUCGAGUGAGCAUUCGUCUUCUGGUUACGGGGCCAUAGCUCAGCUGGGAGAGCGCGUGCUUUGCAAGCAUGAGGUCGUCGGUUCGAUCCCGUCUGGCUCCACCAGAUGGUUUGAUCACCGAGGUCAUGCACCGUCGUCCGCGAAACAUCACUUCGCAUCUUGCUAGUCUGGAUAGACAGCAAGUUGCGUGAUUUCUGACAUCGUAAAGAGGAGAUCGAUCCGAGUUGGGUCGUGCAGCAAAUUGUUGCGCGAGCCUUCAUUAUCUCCGGAUCAUUUUCGGCGCUCGACGCUGACCGCAAGGUUGGCUCUCGAGUUGUAAAAUGAUCCUUUUAGCGAAGCUUGACCGCCUCGCUAUCGGAACGAUCUUACGAAGCAAGCUGGUCUUUCUAGUCAAUGUCCGGCUGUACGUAGCGUUCAUCGAGGGCGCGUGCCUUAGAGACUUCGGUUUCUUGGCAAUCGUACAGACAACAUUCUGCCGAGUGUGUGGACAUUGAUAAUGAGAGC
rnacentral:tRNA from 1 species